GAUGAACGCUGGCGGCGUGCUUAACACAUGCAAGUCGAACGAUGAAGCCCAGCUUGCUGGGUGGAUUAGUGGCGAACGGGUGAGUAACACGUGAGUAACCUGCCCUUAACUCUGGGAUAAGCCUGGGAAACUGGGUCUAAUACCGGAUAGGAGUGCCUACCGCAUGGUGGGUGUUGGAAAGAUUUAUCGGUUUUGGAUGGACUCGCGGCCUAUCAGCUUGUUGGUGAGGUAAUGGCUCACCAAGGCGACGACGGGUAGCCGGCCUGAGAGGGUGGCCGGCCCCACUGGGACUGAGACACGGCCAGGACCCCAACGGGGGGCAGCAGGGGGGAAUUUUCCAAAAGGGGCGAAAGCCUGAGGCAGCGACGCCGCGGGGGGGAGGACGGCCUUCGGGUGGUAAACCUCUUUCAGUAGGGAAGAAGCGAAAGGGACGGUACCGGCAGAAGAAGCACCGGCUAACUACGG
rnacentral:rRNA from 1 species